rnacentral:rRNA from 1 species
GAUGAACGCUGGCGGCGUGCCUAAUACAUGCAAGUCGAGCGAACGGACGAGAAGCUUGCUCCUCUGACGUUAGCGGCGGACGGGUGAGUAACACGUGGAUAACCUACCUAUAAGACUGGGAUAACUUCGGGAAACCGGAGCUAAUACCGGAUAAUAUAUUGAACCGCAUGGUUCAAUAGUGAAAGACGGUUUUGCUGUCACUUAUAGAUGGAUCCGCGCUGCAUUAGCUAGUUGGUAAGGUAACGGCUUACCAAGGCAACGAUGCAUAGCCGACCUGAGAGGGUGAUCGGCCACACUGGAACUGAGACACGGUCCAGACUCCUACGGGAGGCAGCAGUAGGGAAUCUUCCGCAAUGGGCGAAAGCCUGACGGAGCAACGCCGCGUGAGUGAUGAAGGUCUUCGGAUCGUAAAACUCUGUUAUUAGGGAAGAACAAAUGUGUAAGUAACUGUGCACGUCUUGACGGUACCUAAUCAGAAAGCCACGGCUAACUACGUG